GGCGCGGGGCCGGGAGCUCCUGGAGAGGCCGGGCGGGAAGGGGACCCGGGAGGUGGCUCGCCGGGCGGCGGGAGCCGGGCGGGGCCCGCCGGAGCAUCGCGCCGCGGGAGGGGCGGGGGACUGCGCCGCCACCGGCAAGUUCGGGGAGGGCUUCGGAAAGUUGCUUGCGCUGCGCGGGCCCUGGAACUCAGCCCCGGCGCCACCGUUGCUCCCGCGGACCCGUAUCUCCAAAGGUCCCAAGUUUUUCCACCCACCCCUCUGCGGGCCCCGACCCGCUUUCCGACAGAAACCCCAGGCAAAAGUUGCUUUUCGUCUUCCUUCCUCUUCUCUGGGCCGCGCCGCUUCGCACCCGAGCCGGGGGUGGAAGAGGGGCCCGGGCGGCGCGCUGAGGCGGCGCAACCCGACCUUCUCCCCCUGGAGGCCUCCUCUUCCUCCCACCCCAGGGCACAGGGCUCCACUGCACAGGGCGCAGUUUCACAGACAGGAGGAGGUCCGAAGUUCUCAGUUCCAUGGUAGGCAAGAGGAAUUGGGACCCUCCGGGCAACUGUUCUGGACCCCUGACCUCUCAAGUUCAAGGGAGCCUCCUUGUCUAGGGGGUCUGCCGGAAGGCGGAGGAUCAAUGGGGAACGUCUUUUCUGUGGAGCCUGCGCACUAGUCUCCCUACUAACUGUAGGAAGUAUCCAACCCUGUCUUUCCUGUUUUUUCCCCCUAUAUAUACAUACUUAUGAUAAACUUUAAUUUAUCAAUUAGGCAUAGUAGGAGGUUAAUAACAAUGACUAGUAGUGAAAUAGAACAAUUAUAGCAAUAUACUGUAAUAAAAAAGUAUGUGAAUGUGGUCUCUCUCGAAAUGCCUUACUGUCCUGUAAUCACCCUUUUUGUGAUGAUGUGACAUGAUUGAAAUGCCUGCCCGAUGAGAUCAAGCUAGAUGAAUGAUGUAGGCAUUGUGACAUCGCAUUAGGCUGCUGUUGAUCUUCUGAUUAAUCAGCAGAGCAGAGGGCCAUCUGCUUCAGGACUAUGGUUGGCUGUGGGUAACCUAACUCACAGAAAGCAAAACUGUGUGUGUGUGGGGGGGGGGGUUACUGUAACUCACUGGGGGAGCCAGAGUCACCUGUGGAGAUAGGUAGGCAGGCUGGAGGUUCUGAGGUCUGAGUAUGACCAGUGCAGUGACAGGAACCUUCCACCAAAGUUGAUAUUGUCUGGUCUGUUCUCUUGUUCCCCACUCUUUUCUUUUUUCCCAUUUCUUCUUUAAACAAAAUUUCAUCUUAAACACCUUUCCCAUUUGUUUAAUAUGUUUUGAAACUAGGUUGGGCUGUUUGUGACUCCACUCGUAAUGUUUGCAGCAAGAGUUGGGGGGGGGGGAGGGUAGUUUUGAACAGGGAUGUGGACAAAGGGAUGUGGGAAUACGAACAAGGUUACGCAUCCAGAAGCUGGCGUCUGCUAAGGUGGGGCUGGACACAGAGUGAGAGCUGCCCUUGAAUCCAUACCACUGGUAUUCUGGUGUGUGUACAGAGGGCUGUCAUUUCCUGCUUGGGCCAGAUCUGAAGGGAGGGGGACUGAGUUCCCUUUUCUCUAAGAAAGGUGUCUAGAUGGACCCCAAAUUAGGAAGUAUUAGCUACUACUAAUAACAACAACAAAUUGUUCUGAGCAGUGUUGAUUUUGAGCAAGACAUGUUUUGGCUCAUGGUAAGACCUCUAAUCAGCUAAAUAGAGGGGACCAGCCUACCUCUUCGUUCUUAAAAGAUGGGUGGGGUGAGACAGACCCUAAUGCGGCACUGGAAGAGAUACCAUGAAUCAAUAAUGAAUUCAGUGGACAAAAAUUGGGAUCAAACCCUUCAUCUGGUCCACCAGUUUGAUGGACAAAGGUAAUGGGGUUAAGAAGGCUCCAUGUUGGUCCAUGAGUUUGGGGCAUAAUGUCUGUGGAGAAGAGAAAGUUCCAUUUCAUUGUAAGCUCCUCAACUAGGCUCUUGCCUGUGGCCCUUAUGCCAGGUUGCAGGUGACAGUCAUGGGGCCUGUUGUUCCAUAGAAGAGAACAAAGACUUGGAGAGAUGCUUCUCUGCCUCUUUUAAAACCUUCUUCGCCGGAUUCUUAUGCUUUCUUCCUCCCCUGGAGAUCCCCGGUGAUUGCAGGCUGGUUUGAACAGACCCCUUGAAAGUAAACUUGCCCUUGCAGGGUGGUCCUGUUACAAUAGAGAGACUAUUAGGGUUGUCUAGCUGGGCCUCUUGUCUCACUCUUCCCCAUUCUCCUCUUCUUCCUCUCUUCUGGGGUGCCUGUGUAGACAUCUGAUGUUCUCUUGUCUUCUUUGCUGGAACACGCGUGCAGGGUCAAGGGUUAACACCACCGGGGGAAGGGCAGAUGGCAGCUGAGGUGGUGCCACAAUUGGACACCGUAUCCGUGGGUCUCUGAUUUUGACUCUUGGUGUCUCACUUGCAUCCUGAGUAGGCUGACCUUCAUGUCCUACACCUCCCGUAAAGUGUUUUCCUCAUGGUCUGCUCAACAGACCUGUCAACGUACUACUUUAAGAAACCAUUGAAAAGGCUGUUCUCUUUGAGAACAACUUCCUUUCUUUGCUUUGAAUCUUGCUUUGAAUCUCCACCACUACCAGAACCUGAGGAGAGAAAAUAGGAGGACAGCGAGUUCUCAGUGAAUGUUGGGACCUGACACGUCACUUGCGUGAAUCUUUGUAAUGCCGUGGCCACGAUAGUUGACUUUCUUUGGUCUUCCUCUUUAGACCAGAGACCGUCACAGUUUUUGGCCCUAGAGAACUGUGUUUCUUUGUUGUUGUUAAUAGCUAUAUUUUUGGGGGGUCCUACUACUUAAUAAUACACUAGGGAUUCUACACUAUAUACCAUGUAUGUGCCAUUAACUGUUUGUAAGAAUCCAGCGAAGUACCAUGUUUUGACAAAGAGGAAACUGACUGAAAGGUUAAACUAGUAAAGGUCACACAGCUGUCAGCGGCAGAGGUGGGGCCAGCCCAGGCCUGACUAACCUCAUGUCCCCAAAGACCCCGCACAGUUAUUGCUUGUUAAUAGAUCUGGGGAAAUCGAUGCCACAGUGAAAUACCACUUCACACCCAGUCUGAUGGCAACAAGAGGAAAGACAUGCUAAUAAGCCACCAUACUAAUAAGUAUGACGUGGAGGAUGUGAGGAAAUCCGAACCCUCAUACGUUGCCAGUUGGCUGCUGGGAAUGUAAAAUGGUGCAGACGCUUUGGCGAACAGUCUGGCAGCUCCUCAGACUGUUAAACAUGGAGGUGCCAUGUGAUCCAACAUUUCUGCUCCGGGGUAUAUACUCAAGAGAAGUAAAGACACACAUCCACACACAAACUUGUACGGAGAGGUUCAUGGCAGCAUUCUUGAUAAUAGCCAGAAAGUGAAAACAACCCAAAUGUCCGUAAGCUGAUGAAGGGAUGAAAAAAAACCGUGGUCUAUUCAUAGGAUGGAAUACUAGCAGGAAAAGGAACGGACAACAUGGAUGAUCCUUGAAAACAUGCUAAGUGGAAGAAGCCAGACACAAAGACCGCAUAUUGUAUGAUUCCGCUUAACAUGGGAUGUCCAGAACAGGCAAGUUGAUAGAGACGGAAAGUAGAUUAGUGGUUUAGAGCUGGGGAGUUUGGGAGCUUUGGGAAGCGGCGGCUGAGAGGUAGGUGGUUUCUUUUUGGGUUGGUGAGAACGUUCUAAAAUGGAUUAUGGUGAUGGUUGCACAGCUCUGUGAGUAUACUGAAAACCAUUGAAUCAUCCACCUCAAAUGUGUGGAUUGAGUCUCAGGAAAGCUGUUAAAAAGAAAUAGAUCUAGGGAGAGUUUGGAGCGGGGUACUCUGCAUGAAGCCACUGGGUGUGGGAGGGCCACGGCUAUAGGAAAUCCCCCUGGUGUCUCCCCGUAUCCGCCACUACAGGAAGGAGCGUCCACCUGCCGACCUCACAGAAUCUGAGCUGAAGAGCCUUGUCGGGGGCGGGCAGGGGCCCUAAGGUGAAGGGGUCCGGGUGCUCCUGUAUGUGACCUCGCCAACGUUCCUCAUCAGUUCGUUUGUUCCGCAGAUAUUUAAGAGUUCAUAUUCAUUUCUGCAGAAGCAGGAGGCUGUGACAAAGCCCUUGCCCUCAAGAAAGUCUGUGGUUUCAUUGAGGCGACAGACAAGUCCCAGAACUGACUGGUUGGGAGGUAAAAGCUCUGAUGGUUGCCUAUACUUAGGAAGGAAGCGGGGAGGCUUGAAGAUGAAGGUUACAUUUGAGUUGAAUCUGGAGAGAGGAGUAUGGGUUUGUGAGGUCAGGAGCACCCUAUUCCCUCUCUACUGCCUUUAUUCAGCAUGUUUAAGUUGGAGACAAGAGAUAUGUUGGGGGUGGUGGAAUGGAAGAAAAUACAGCAGGAUGUGAGUCAGUCCUUGGGCAGUUAUUAACCUCUGUACCCCUGACGUCUAGAAAGAGGUGUCAUCUCUUUUAUUAGAAAUCUGCUGUGUUCUCAUGUGAGGCGUGCGGAAUACAGCAGUUAACUAGACAACUUUCUGCCUGUGCAGGGAAUCAAGGACUGUGACAUUUGCAGAACCAUAUGGAAGGAGGAUCAGAAUGUGGUUUCACAAGCAGCAAAGAUGGAAACUUAAAUGUCUUCCAGAAGUUCCAGUUAUUUACUCAGCAAAUAUUUGAGCACCUAGUGUAUGCUAGAAUACUGUGGAAAGAAGAGCAAAUAAAUCAGGCAGAUCAGCCCCUGUCCUCCUCCUAACACUCAAAUAGGAAAUUGAACAUUAAUAAAAUGAUUAUAAAUCUAUAACCAUAAACUGGGACAAAAGCUCUGAAAAAGAGGCACUCAGUAUCAAAGAGAAUUAACUAGGAGUCUGACCUGUCUGGGAGAUGAGGAGGGGCUUCUCGAAGGAAGGGGUAUUUGAAGGAUGAGGGAAUGGCAUUACCAGAAGAAGGAAAAGCACACACCAUGACUCUGAGUCUAGAGAAAGGAGUAUUGCUGUGGUUGGAGGGGAGGGAACAAAGGUGGAAGUGGUUUGCGUGAGACGAGAAAUAUGCAAGGCCUGCCAGAUCAUCCUACCACCCUUAAUCUAAGAAUAUCAGGGAGGCAUUACGUCGCGAUCGCUGUUGAAGUGGGUUUCAAACCAGGGCUGUACUGCCCCCUAGAGGUUAUUUUGGAACUUGAUGGAAACUCCUUUUUGGUUGUCCAGGAUUAGGAUCAUUUUAUGUGUACAUUUUACUCAUUUCGGGAUAGUCGUGAGGGCAUUGCAAAUAUUUAGUAUCCUAAAGAGAUGUUUUAUCUGAAAUAAGAUUAAAGGAGCCUACUACGCAGGCUGGGUGGAAGCUGAGUGGGUGUGUGAAUCUGGGGAGAGCACACUAAGUUUUCUGGCAUGAGAGGGCAUUCUAAAUACCCUCUAGCAGGCUGGGGCAACUGUGGACUUCACUCUGGAAAUUCACAGCCCAGUUACCAAAUAGAAUUGGACUGCGGGGGAGCUCAGCCUCUGGUAUAGCCGUGAAUAGACUUAUGCGUGGAGAAUGACCCAGCAUAACCCAGAACGAUCCACCCCUCUUUGUUCUGCUUUAGGUCUGUGUAGCAGGGGAGAGCACCAGAUUUGGGUCCCAAAUGCAAUCUGCACACCCAUGUCCUGCUUCCUGGAAGCCGGAGGGUUAAAGGCAGCAAGGGACCUCACUGCCAAGAUUCUUUCACUCCCAACCCAAAGCUGAUCCAAGAACAGGAAACUACAAUAAAACAUAACAAGUUAUGGGGUUUAUUCCCGAUGACACAAGUAAUGCUUGCUCAUUAAAUUGGGGGAAACACAAAAAAGAAAGUAGUAGACUCUCUGUUUUCCAAGAUUAGAGUUUUAAGAAAGAUUUUAUGCAGUUUCAUAGUAGACGUGUACAAUUUGAGGUUGUUCUAUUUUUUUUUUCUGUUUAGAAAAUUAGGAUGAUCUGUACCUAUUUUGUAAAAAUUUUUUUUUUGCAUGUGAUGAAUGCUUUCUCGUGUCACUUAAUGAUUGCCUGCAAUUUGUUGUUGUUGUUGUUGUUUUGUUUAUUUUUGAGAGAGAGUGCGAGUGGGGGAGGGGCAGAGAGAUGCAUACACACACAUACACACACACACACACACACACACAGAAUCUGAAGCAGGCUCCAGGCUCUGAGCUGUCAGCACAGAGCCCCACACGGGGCUCGAACUCACGAACCGUGAGGUCAUGACCUCAGCUGAAGUCAAUGGACUGAGCCAUCCAGGUGCCCCGGGCGAUUUGGUUUUUAACAGCAUUGUUGUAGUUAGUCAUAGGUGUACUAUUGUCUGUGUGACCAGCCCCCUCCCGCUUUUUGUGGCUUAAAAAGCUCCCGAUUCUGUCGAUGUAGGAAAAGUCUGUGGUGAACUUCCUUGUAGAGACAUCCUGGUGUACAAAUCCGUAAAUUCUCCCUCAGGAUAAAUGGCAGUGACCUUUUACAGAGAGGAAAUGGAAGUGCUUCUUGCCCUUCAGAGCAUGGUGACAUUAAACAAUUAUCUGAACAUUUUAAUAUCUAGAAAUUAUUGGAUGUCCCUUUAUCAUCCAGAAAUUUCCAGGAGCCGAAUGUGAUGGUAAUAUUUUAAGUUGUGAUAGUAUUUUUGGUGUCUGAUGGUUUGGAAAAGGAACAAUGACAUGGAUGGGCUAGAAGAUUCUGUAGUGCUUUUAAAUUUUUUUUAUUUAUUUUUGAGACAGAGAGGGACAGAGCAUGAACGGGGGAGGGUCAGAGAGAGGGAGACACAGAAUCUGAAACAGGCUCCAGGCUCUGAGCUGUCAGCACAGAGCCCCAUGCGGGGCUCGAACUCACGGACCUUGAGAUCAUGACCUGAGCCGAAGUCGGACGCUGAACGGACUGAGCCACCCAGGUGCCCCGAUUCUGUAGUGCUUUUAAAUGCACUUGUAUUUAAGUAAUGGGACCAGCAUGUGCAUAAAUUUGAAGAAUGAUCUUACCACACCUAUUUAUUCAGGCUGCAGAGUAUGUAGAUUUCUUAACUACUGGCAAGAAUUCCCCUCCAGAGCCCCCUAAAAACCACCUGCCCCCCCCCCCCCCCGAUUGGGAACCGGCGGCCAAAGGUGACGGUGCUGAUGAAGGCCACUGGGGAGCAUGAGUGGGUGCGUGCGGUCCCGCGGGAGUCGCACAGGUUUCCGGGCGUCACAGUGGGCAUUCCAGACCCUCCACGGCAAUCCUGGGCCUCACGCGGGGGACUCCCUGUGUGGGUCGGCGUAUUUAGUUACAUCGAUGUGUCAGGGAAGGGCUUCUUUGCUCCCUUCCUCCCAGCCCCCGCCCCCGCCCCCACCCCCCAUUCUCAGGCUUCCUGCCCAGCGCCACUGGACGCCCAUCUGUUUCCUCCCCCUGCCAUCUGCCUUCCCCGCGCUGGCCCAGGCGUGCUGCCCACGGGAGCCUCCCUCUGACCCGCCGCCUGCCACAUGCUCGCCGUCUUUGUCACCAGUUUGGCUCAGCGUCGCCCUCGCCGGCUGCUCACUCUCUGGCGUUCCUCGCUGGGGCCUCAGCAACUCCUGGCAUCGGUGGCCUGGCCCAGAGCCAGGUCCUGGCUGCCGGUGCUGCAGCAGCCCCAGGGGCUUCCUGGAGGGAAGGAGGACGGGAAGGAAUCUCUCCCCACCACCGCGGCCCACCCCAGCUCCCUGGUGGAAAUCAGGAACAGAGGAGCUACUCAGCCCCUGCAGAAAACGGGAGUUCAGCUGGCUUGUGUUUUAAUCAGCAGUGAUGAUGACAUGACCCUUCCUUUUCCUGGAGCAGCCACACUCUUUUUUUUGUUUGUUUGUUUUAUUUCCUUCUUUAGAUAGCUAGAAGGAUAGGUGGAUUGAUAGAGGAGGAGAAAUUUUCUGUAAAGUGGUUUCCACAUAUUACCCACAGAAAGGAUUGCUGUGAAAGAGCGGUAUUAUCCAAAUUUUUAAAGAUAGAGAAAACGCAGUUCCUUCAGAAGGGGAUGGGAAGGCAGGAAAAAGUAAUUAAUUAAAUGCUUUCAGGUACAGAGUAAAUUGGAACCUGCUGAGAACUAUCGUGUGACCUCAAUGUGUAUUUACUCACUUUUCCUCAUAGGUUUUCUUUAUUCAGCAGCAAUGCUAGUAAUUGUUUAUGAAGAAGCCUUUUUUUUUAAAGUUUAUUUAUUUUGGGGGGGGGGAGAACACGAGCGGGGGAGGGGCAGAGAAAGAGUCUCAAACAGACUCCACACUGUCAGUGCAGAGCCUGAUGCAGGGCUCAAACUCAUGAACCAUCAGAUCAUGACCUGAGCUGAAGCUGGAUGCUUAACCGACUGAGCCACCCAGGCUCCCCUGAGGAAGUCUUUUUUUAACUUUUCCUCCCCAAUGAUAAAAGUGGUACUUUAAUAAUAAUAAUAAUAAUAAUAAUAAUAGCAUUUAUCACUCAUUGACUUCCUUAGGUAGCAGCCACGAGGCUCGAUGUUCUACAUGAGUUACCUCAUUUCGUCCCCAUGAUAAGUAGGUCCUGUCAUUAUCUGCAUUCUAUAGAUGAGGAAACUGACGCACGGGGAAGUUAGGUACCUUGCCCAAAGUCAUAGCCAUAAAGAGUGAAGCUGGGUUUUGGAACCAGGCAGCUUGAGUCCAGAUGUUGAGCUCAUCAAAGGACAAUUUGGGGUCCUUUCUUUUUCAAUGUCAAUACACCAUGAGUAUUUUCCUUUGUCAUUAAACCUGUUUGAAAGCGAUGUGAUACCUGCGUCCGAGUCCUUUGGUUGUAUCAUAAUUUAUCCAUUUGGCUUCUCGUUGGUGGGCGGGCUGUGGCCGAUCUGAAAGGAGGUGCUGUGAGAAGCAACAGCGGGUACUUAGAGACGGUUUCACCCUUUGCCAGAGAUGAAAUCGGCCAGACAAGGGAAAACCCCUCACUGGGGUAUUGGACAGUGUGUGUAUAGUAUUUUAGAAAGCAUAUUCACAUGUUACCCACAGGGCUGCUGGAAGGCUUAAGAGGAAACCAUUGUUACUACUCUUCUCGUUUGUUAAGUCACAAGUUCCUCCUGGAAGGGUUGGGAACAGAGGGGAACUAAGGUGCGAGUACCUGCUCUACUGUGUCAGGCAAUUUUACGUGCUUUUAACCCUGUUAGUGGCUCUGUAUUACUUAUCUUCCUUUUUUUUUUUUUUUUUUUGGUUGAACGGAGGCUGAGAGGUUUUGUAACUUGCCCAACGUUGAAAAUACCCAUUAAAUUCUGGAGCCAGCAUUCGAACCCGGAUAAGGCCAAGGCCUAGCCUUUCUAUGGUGGUGUGCCAUCUCUCCAUGUGGGGUGAGCAGAGCAGACCCCCCAGGCUAGCCCACUGUGGCAGACGUGCCAUAGGGUGACCCCUAGUGAGUCACAAUCUUGUGUAAUUCCUUCCUCUUGAGCGUGGGACGACCCUGUGACUUGCUGCUAGCCAAGAGAGUAUAGCAAAGGUGAUGGAUGUUAUUCCCAUGGUUAUGUCAUGUCAGAUGCCUAGGUGAAUGGAUGUUGCAGAUGUAAUUAAUGUCCUAAAUCAGUUGAUUCCAAGUUAAUCAAAAGGAGAUCAUCUCCAGGUAGGCCUGACUUAGUCAUGUGAAAGUCCUUAAAGGAGGUACUGGGUCCUUCCCAAAAAGGGAGAUUCUCCUGCUGGCCCUGAGAAGUAAACUCUGCUGAGGGAGUUGGGCGAGAGCCUGGCAGAGGGCCACCUGCCCAGCACCUAUGGGCUGUGUCUGGCAUCUAAAAGCAGCCCUCAGCGGACGGCCAGAAAAACAAAAAACCAAAGACCUCUGUUUCAGCAGGGAACUAAAAUCCGCCAACAAUCAUGUGACCUCGGAAGAGGACCCCAGGCCUCAGAUAAAACCCCAGCCUGGCCAACAUCAUGGCUGCAGCCUUUUGAGACCUAGAGCAGAGGACUCUCGCCUGGGAGCCUAAGUGUUCUUUUAAGCUACUUAGUUUGUGGUCAUUUGUUACACAGCGGUACAUACUCUUGCACCCACAGAAGCCCAUGUAUCCUGCAUCAGAUCUGGCACUCUUGUGGCCGUCCCUUGGCAAGGAAAGAUGGGGCAGCAGCAGUGCAGAAGGCAGAAGAUAAGGAAACAUCCAUGUGUGGAGACUGCCUGCUUCCCUGCUGGACCACUUCCUGUCCUGCCUCUGAGGGGUCUUCUCCAAAGGCCCCAUCUGAAGUCAUCCCCCUAACGCCACCCUAACCCCAUCACCCUGUCCCGUUGCCCAGUUCUGACUUCUUUCACGUCACUUCUCGAGCCGAAAUCCCCUUGUUCACUUUGUUACUCAUUCAUGGUGGGUCUUCUCACCGGGAUCUGAACUGCAGAAGGACAGUGACCUACCUUUCUGUCUGGGUCACCUCAGGAUGCCUUGCUCCUACGUCAGCGCCUGGAGCAUAGAAAGCACUCACAAGUUUUUGUUUUGUUUUGUUUUAAAUGAUCGAAAGCGUAUUUUCUGGACAAAGCCCCUGGUAAUAACACUCCUUUUAAAAAAGUCAACCGGGGCGCCUGGGUGGUGCCGUUGGUUGAGUAUGUGACUUUGGCUCAGGUGGUGAACUCGUAGUUGGUGAGUUCGAGCCCCAUUUCGGGCUCUGUGCCGACAGCUCAGAGCCUGGAACCUGCUUCGGAUUCUAUGUCUCCCUUUCUGCCACUCCCCCAUUCACACUCUGCCUGUCUCUCUCUCUCAAAAAUAAAUAAAUAUUAAAAAAAAUGUUUUUAAGUAAAAAAGUCAGCCUGCCAGGGGCACCUGGGUGGCUCUGUCAGAAGCUUCCAGCUUCAGCUCAGGUAAUGAUCUCACGGCUCUUGAGUUCCAGCCCCACAUCAGGCUCUGUGCUGUCAGCACUUCAGAUCUUCUGUCCCCCCUGCCCCCCGCCCUGUCCCCCUCCCACUUGCUCUCUCUCUCUCUCUCUCUCUCUCUCU